rnacentral:lncRNA from 1 species
AGGAACCAAAACUGGGGUCAUGAGGCCGCCAUUUCUGCAACCACAUGGGUGGAAUUCCGCGCACUAUGCGGGCACUGAUCCACUCGCACGUUGGACAGAAGCCAGCGCCCAGGUGUGACCAGAAACCACGGAAAGGAGAGGCAGAUACUGUGUAUUUAAACCGUGCCUGGCUUCCUCGUGAGCCGCAGGUAUUUUUUGUUCCAAAAUAUUGUAGAAUAGGACAAGUACCGAUUCCUUGAUACGUCACUCACAAAUUUCACGUUCCUUCAAUUUCAACAACGGAAAAAUUUGGAUGUCAAAAUUAUGACCUAAAGUUAGACAUCCUUGCUGGAAAAAAACAAGGCAUGAAUGCGAGUAGCACCAAUUACAAAAGUUUUAGGAAGACUUUUGAAAGAAGCCCAUUAACCUUGCAUGGAAAAAUUUCGGUGUUUUAUUUUACUUUAUUUAAACAUCUGCAGAAAAGAAGUUCUCUAGAGAAAGGAUUGAUGUGAAAAUUGGGAGCCGAGUUUUGGGUAUUACUGAAGAAUCCAUUUCCUUUAAGUCGAAAGCAACCGGCAAGCUCAUGGAGAUCCCUUAUGGCAUGAUUGUUUGGUCAACAGGUACUACUAGUGUUUGAGAUUGGUUUCGAGUUAAUAAUCUAGUUGACCUGGGUUCAUAUCAUUCUGGAAAA